UCGUGUCGUGAGAUGGUUAGGGUUAACGUACCGUAACGAGCGCAACCCUUGUCCUUAGUUACCAGCACGUUAUGGUGGGCACUCUAAGGAGACUGCCGGUGACAAACCGGAGGAAGGUGGGGAUGACGUCAAGUCAUCAUGGCCCUUACGGCCUGGGCUACACACGUGCUACAAUGGUCGGUACAAAGGGUUGCCAAGCCGCGAGGUGGAGCUAAUCCCAUAAAACCGAUCGUAGUCCGGAUCGCAGUCUGCAACUCGACUGCGUGAAGUCGGAAUCGCUAGUAAUCGUGAAUCAGAAUGUCACGGUGAAUACGUUCCCGGGCCUU
rnacentral:rRNA from 1 species